rnacentral:rRNA from 1 species
AACGAACGCUGGCGGCAGGCCUAACACAUGCAAGUCGAACGCCCUAGCAAUAGGGAGUGGCAGACGGGUGAGUAACACGUGGGAACCUUCCCUAUAGUAUGGAAUAGCCCAGGGAAACUUGGAGUAAUACCGUAUACGCCCGAGAGGGGAAAGAUUUAUCGCUAUAGGAUGGGCCCGCGUAGGAUUAGCUAGUUGGUGAGGUAAUGGCUCACCAAGGCGACGAUCCUUAGCUGGUCUGAGAGGACGACCAGCCACACUGGGACUGAGACACGGCCCAGACUCCUACGGGAGGCAGCAGUGGGGAAUAUUGGACAAUGGGCGCAAGCCUGAUCCAGCCAUGCCGCGUGAGUGAUGAAGGCCUUAGGGUUGUAAAGCACUUUUGUUUGGGAAGAAAUCCGGUUGGUUAAUACCUGAUCGGGAUGACGGUACCAAAAGAAUAAGCACCGGCUAACUUCGUG